CGUCGGGUUCCGGACUGUCCCGUGUGACGUGGCUGCACGCCGGGGGUGGCUCCGGGCUGGGGGCCUAGUGGUGGGGCCGGGCGAGGCAGAGCGGGGCGGGGCGCGACACUGCAGCUGGAUGGCCGGGCCCGCCCGGAGCGCUGCAUCUGCUGCCGCUGCCACCUCUGCCACUGCGCGAUGAGGAAACUGAGGCAGUUUCAAGGUCACAGCCAGUAGAAGACGGGGCAGAUCACAUUUAAACUUUCCAGAUUGAACUUCUGGCUUGGUUGACUCACAUCCCCAUCCGGCUGCCAUCAGUCUGCAGAGCACAUUCCUUCUGCGAGUGCUUCAGACCUCCCCUGGCAUUCAGAGGACUUGCAUUCCCUCCUCGAUGCCAGCAGCUACCUGCAUUGUCAAGUUCACCUCAUAUUCAUCGCUGUUAGGGAGCUCUGUUACCUCAUCCAUUCCCUGAUGAGGACACUGAGGCUCAGGCUCAUAAGGGACUACAGUCAGUUAACAAUCUAGAGCACCAAAUUAAUUAGCCAUAAGUUAGUUACCACAGCCUCUGGCUCUGGCAACUGUGAGGCAUCUCUUCUCUUCAGCCCCACCUCUUGUCUCUUGGUGCCCAAGAAUAAGAUCAUUUAGGAGGAAGAGGUUUGGACUAUGACUCAGUUUCCCCACCUGUGUUUCUUUGUACCACGCCAUCAAGCUAAACAGUGCUGGCUUUAGACCCUGGGGUGUCUUUACCGGCACAUUCUGGCAGCCAAGCCUCUCCUGGCAGCUAGAGGCACCCAACAGGGAUGGUCCCUCCUCCGGUGGCUGAAGGAGCCCAGCCAGUGCCUCACCCAGUCAUUAAGGAAAGUUUAGCCUCAGGCGGACACAUUGACACAUAGGCUGGAGCCAGCUCAGAAGGAAAAUAUGUGUGGUUCUUGGGAGACGUGUAGAUGGGCAGAGGGUGCUCCGUGCACCCACCCUGGGGAUUGUUUCCGCUGCAGAGUGAGCAGGAGGGGGAUGCCAUGGCCGGUUGAGAGGUGGGAAGAGACGCUGUGCUUCCUAAGUGGGGUGUGUGGUCCAGGGAGGCAGCUCACGUGAGCAGUCUUUGUGUUUUCUAGCGCCCGGCAUGCCUGGAUGUCCCUGCCCUGGCUGUGGUAUGGCAGGCCAAAGGCUCCUCUUCCUCACUGUCCUUGCCCUGGAGCUCCUGGAAAGGGCUGGAGGUUCCCAGCCAGCCCUCCGGAGCCUGGGGGCUGCAGCUGCCUGUCGCCUGGAUAAUAAAGAAAGCGAGUCCUGGGGGGCUUUGCUGAGUGGGGAGCGACUGGACACCUGGAUCUGCUCCCUCUUGGGCUCUCUCAUGGUUGGGCUCAGUGGGGUUUUCCCCUUGCUGGUCAUUCCCCUGGAGAUGGGGACCCUGUUACAGUCAGAAGCCGGAGCCUGGCGACUGAGGCAGCUGCUCAGCUUUGCCUUAGGUGGACUCCUGGGCAACGUGUUUCUGCACCUGCUGCCGGAGGCGUGGGCCUACACCUGUAACAUCACCCCCGCCACUGGCUUGGCAUGGCCUGUUAGUGCUCCCCCUGCAGGUGGUGAAGGGCAGAGUCUGCAGCGACAGCAACAACUGGGGCUAUGGGUCAUCGCUGGCUUCCUGACCUUCCUGGCGUUGGAGAAGAUGUUCCUCAACAGCAAGGAGGACCCCAGCCAGGCCCCCAGCAAAGACCCCACUGCUGCCGCGCUCAAUGGAGGCCACUGUCUGGCCCAGCCGGCUGCAGAGCCCGGCCUGAGAGCCGUGGUCCGGAACCUCAAAGUCAGUGGCUAUCUCAACCUGCUUGCCAACACCAUAGACAACUUCACUCAUGGGCUGGCUGUGGCUGCCAGCUUCCUUGUGAGCAAAAAGGAUCCUCAAGCUGGAUUUGGAUCCCCUGGAGCCGUAGCUACAGAUCGGGCUUCUGACCACCAUGGCCAUCCUCCUGCAUGAGAUCCCCCAUGAGGUGGGUGACUUUGCUAUCCUGCUCCGGGCUGGCUUUGACCGAUGGACGGCAGCUAAGCUACAGUUUUCUACAGCCCUGGGAGGCCUUCUGGGGGCCUGCUUUGCCAUCUGUACACAGUCCCCCAAAGGAGUAGAGGAGACGGUGGUCUGGAUCCUGCCCUUCACCUCGGGAGGCUUUCUCUAUAUCGCCCUGGUGAAUGUGUUACCUGACCUCUUGGAAGAAGACGACCCGUGGCACUCCCUGCAACAGGUGCUGCUGCUCUGCUCCGGUGUUCUGGUGAUGGUGCUGCUUUCAUUGUUUGUUGAAUAACCACUGCUCACAGCCCACUCUGCACAGCGAGCAAUGAGACUCCAGUCUGUUCUGUGACCAAGUGUGAGAGGCAGAGGGUGAAUGCUAGAGAGGAGCCUCUCACUGCACAGAGGGUGUGUGGUGUGCACACGCAGCCAGAGUGGGAGAGAGACCGACACUGUGACCCCUGGGUGCAGAGCCCAGAGCCCAACGUAGCACCUGCCCAGACACCCCACUGUCACCUAGCAGCAAGGAAUGACAGCACCGGUGCCAGCACAGGCCUCACUUCUCAUUGACAAAGAAACCAGCCCAAGGAGCCCAGGGCUACAGCCCAAAGAGAGGGACAGAGCCCAAAGUUGUUCCUCCUUGGGGCUCUAGCCCAAGAGAGAAAAGAAAAAAACAAACCCUCUGCUUACACAUCUAGGCCCCAAGCACUGUAGAGGCAGAGGCAACACAGCUUUUCCCUGCUGUCCAUUUUCCUUACCCUUCCUACUUACCCCCUCUACAGCCAAAGAAAUGGGAGGUGGGUGCUGUGUAGCCCCAGCCCCGACUCAGCACUGAUGUCCUACCCCUCCCCAACGCUGAGCAGGCAGCUGCUCCAAGACCUCUCUCUAGGGGCAGCCAGCCUGGCUAGCACGUUUCCCCAACAAAUAUUCCCUGGCCACACGGGCAGCUCUCACCACCUCCAGCUGCCAAACAGCAGCCUGCAAGUCAGCAAGUAGUCCAGGCUAGCCGUCUCUCAGCACAGCUCUCCGGGAUGCUCCUGCCAGCACAGGGUCCAGCAGGCAUGCAUGCCCCAGGCAGAGACAGUGAGCCUUGCUGCCCUCUCCAGCUCAGGGGCCCUUGUCCUUUGGGUUAAGAGUAAGAUGGGGGUGGUGAGGGCUCCACAUUGUCAGUGCUCAGGAAUGUGAACUGGAAGAAUGCUGAAGCCAUAAUCCCCAACUAUUUCCCUUGGCUGACACCCAGGUACUCAGCUGGCCCAAUCUACAGCCAGACUCCAGCCCUGCUGCUCAACUGUGGAUGUUAGAGAUGUGGCCACUGAAGAGUCUGACUGAUCCACAGCAGUUAUGCUGUGGCUCAUCUUUAUCUGUAAAUACUUGUUCUGUAGAUAUAAAUAAAUUACUUAGACCGGC